AAAUAAAAUUGUAUAGUUUUUAACACUUUUUAAAGUUAAUCUUAAAAAUCCAAAUUGGUCCAAAAUUGAUGUAUUUAUUUUUUUUUGAUCGGGCAAAGUCAUGUUAGAUGUUAGUAAUUAGUUCUCCAUCCACUCCAAGAACCACCUUAUCUCUCCAUUCACCAAAUCCACCUUAUAUCUCCAAUCUCCAAUUCGCUCCCAAGAGGGAUCGAACCCGGGUCACUUCACUUAAG
rnacentral:lncRNA from 1 species